rnacentral:tRNA from 1 species
ACCCGUCUAGCUCAGUCGGUAGAGCGCUGGCCUUUUAGGCCAGUGGUCGUGGGUUCGAGCCCCACGGGGGGUG